ACGCUCGACACCUACUGGAGGCAGCAGUGGGGAAUAUUGGGCAAUGGGCGAAAGCCUGACCCAGCAACGCCGCGUGAGGGAAGAAGGUUUUCGGAUUGUAAACCUCUGUCCUCAGGGACAAAGGACGUGACGGUACCUGAGGAGGAAGCCCCGGCUAACUACGUGCCAACAGCCGCGGUAAUCUGAGCGGGCUGGCAAGGC
rnacentral:rRNA from 1 species